rnacentral:lncRNA from 1 species
AGGCUUUAGCUUCAGACCUCCCCAGGUCUGCUUCCUGGAAGACCCUGCAAGGCUCAGAGCUGAGUGUGAGGUGUGGAACUGGCAGUGACAUCGUGAGUGUCCCCUAGGGGGAGUGCGGGAGCUGCAUCUUCACUCCCAGAUGCCCACUGAAGAGCAAGCCAAAGGGCGUGAAGAAGAAGUGUAUCUACAACCCGUUACCUUUCAGGAGGAACGUGGAAGGCUGCCAGAACCUGUGCACCCUGGUGAUCCAAACCCCCAGGUGCUGCCAUGGUUACUUCAUGCCAGACUGUCAGGCCUGCCCUGGAGGACCAGAUACACCGUGUAACAACCGGGGCAUGUGCCGCGAUCUGUACACACCCAUGGGACAGUGCCUAUGCCACACCGGCUUCAACGGGACAGCCUGCGAGCUCUGCUGGCAUGGGAGAUUUGGGCCUGACUGUCAGCCCUGCAGCUGCUCCGAGCAUGGACAGUGUGAUGAGGGGAUCACAGGCUCCGGGGAGUGCCUCUGUGAAACAGGGUGGACAG